UUGGUGGUCAGUUGUUGUGUGACUUGAAGCCGCGUCGGCACGUUUGCGUCCACCUCUUCCAUCAAAUCUAAUGCCGAGUUAACGAGAGGCCCCAUCUCUCGUCACUAGCGAAGGCAAGGCAACUACAGAAACUGAUAUCGUGCAAUCCAGAAAGAAUUUUGAAUAGAUGGACUGAGGGAAGAGAACAUCAUCGCUCUUUGGAACUGAUAAUCAGAUGCAAAAGCAGGCAUCGUAGAAGGCAAUCAGAGCUCGUUUUCGUUUUGUUCUCGAAUCGGACGUGUGUGUGUUGUUGUUUCUAGUUGUUUCAUCUCUCAAAAAACGAGGAAAAAGAUCGAGGGUUUGGGGCUGAAAAUCGACAACGCCUCCUGGACCUUACUCCUCCUUUUCGAUUUUGUUUUUGGUGUUCGGCAGAAUUGCCAUUGUGUGUCCCAGUCAACUUGACCUGAAGCUGUGCCUUAGCUUGUGCUAUUCGAUGCAGUGAACCUUGAUUUCGCACUGAACCACAAAACCGAAAAAAAAACCGAAAAACGCAAAGAUGAGGCUCUUCCGGAGACGGGCGGAUGGCCAGCACCAACCGUUGCACGAGACAAACAGCACGGGAGGUCCAGAAGCAGCGGCGCUCUUGAUUUCGAUGGAAUCGACUGGCAGCGGCAGCGGAACUGAUGGUGAUCAGCUGAGUGUCAGCAGCCGGAGCGAAAGAGAAACGCUGGACGACAAAAGUUAUCAAACCGUCAAAGCUCUUCCGGCCAUCGUCGUCAUCAAUUCGCCCAAAGGCAGCACCAAGAAUAAAGGUGGGCCAUCGACAUGGGGCAAGAAGGUCGGUCGCAAGUGGGAACAGAAUAAGAAAGUGGUGAGUCAGCCGUCAGCAAACGUCAGCGAUUCGACUCCUUUGAUGGAUGGACAUCAAGGAGAAGGAGACGGACCGGUGGAACCGGUGCCGACAUGUUCGUCACCAACGGCACUUUUAGCCGAAAAUGCUUCGAGUCAGUCAUGCGAGGGCGUGGCCCCGGCGACGAGCGGCAAGAAAUUGCUGCAGCCACAACAGCAACGAUGCAGACCGGCUGUCGUGGUGCUGAAUAACAAGACGGGCGCCAAGAGACGAGUGAGUCGGGUCGAAUCACUUCGCAACUUGUUUUUGCGCUCGUCGAAACCUUCGACACGUGCCGAUCCGGCUCUGCAACACGCGGCGCACCAAGAGGCCACUCAUCCGCUGAUGCUGGCGCAAUUGUUGGCUGCCACUCCGGACGUGAUUCAAGAAGCGCAAAAGAAAACAAUUUUGAUUCGAGAGAGUAGCAUCAGUGGCACGUCCAGCAACCGUUUAAUGCCGCUGCCUAAUCGCUCCGUCAGUUUGGAGAACGUCUCGGCGUCGAGCGUCAUGGGCCACAUGCAGCCCGAUGUUGCCGGAACGGUCAGCAAGAAGAGCCAUUUUCCUUACUCUUUCAUUCGUUCGCGUCUUCAUCGGCCUCUGUUGUCCUCCAGCUGCGAGGCUGAGGUGGAAACGGCCAGCGCCGACAUCGCCAGUCGCCAUCCGGUUACUUGCUCCAAGUUCGGCACGGAAUUGAACGCCAACACGAACCGCCAGCUGCGACGAUUUGAUUAAAGAAGCAGCGCGUCAGUCCUCUCACCCGGAUCUUCAGCUGGCCUCGAUCCGCUAUCGGAGCGUCGUCAGCGUCAGACACAAUCAGCAGGAAGAAACGUUUAAAUUGGUGCGCAGAAAGCGGAGUUUCUCGUUGGCCGCUUUGCCGCUUUCGGCGGCGGAAGCGACGCAACAAGCGUUCGUCGGCCAACAGCCACCGAUCGGAGGAGAGCGGAUAUGAAAGCGAUUCCACUCGCAAUGGAUACGAGUCGCCGAGACGGACGUCGGCAGACAGUGGCAAGCCUGACCCAGCCAAUAGUAUCCACGUUUCGUUUGUUUCGUCUUUGAAGUCUGCGGAGCAAGAUCCGGAGGCGAAUGGACACCGUUCUCGUCCUACACCGACACCGACGAUGAACCGGUCGAUGGAUCAGAGCGACCGAUUUUCGUUGGACGAGCAUUACGACGCGGUGGAUGGUGCAGCGAGAUUGGGCCAGCCUCCGCAGAGAUGUUGUAAUUGCCGCUGCAACAACAAAAACAACAGCAACAGUCAACAAGCGGACAAUUUGAAACAAUCAAUUGCACGAAAGGAGCCGAGUGUCAUGUUUGGUGUGGCUCAAUUGAGAUCGCUGGAAACGGGUGGAUCACGAAGUCCUAGGCAUUUGCCCGUCAUCGGCGACUCUGCGCUGGCCAGCCGCUAUGCCCGUUCUUCUUCUCUCGAUCGUAAAAAAUGGCUACAGCCUUCUGUGUUGAUGGAAAUCGGCAAUGGAACACUUGGCGAUGCCACGGAUCACGGCAUGAUGGCGUCUUCUCUGCCACCGGGAUACGCCGUCCAGCAAAUAACUCAACAGCCACCACGUCCGUCUUCAUCCUUUGCUUACGCCCCACAAUAUCAUACCCAACAACAACAGCAACAACAACCGCAGCAGCAGCAACAACAACAACAAGCGCAACGCCAAUUCAAAAUGUUGCGACUAGUCAAAGGGGAAACUGGCGAACUGGGCAUUUACAUCAAAAAGAAAUCAAGUCCCGAUUCUGGAUCGGUUGGUUACGUCAUUGCCGGCAUCGAACCAGGAGCUUUAGCACACAGGGAUGGCCGACUGCAAAUCGGCGACGAAAUCAUCAACGUUAACGGCUGUCGAUUGCGAGGCGUCGGACUGCAAGAAGCCCGCGACAUUCUUCAAAAUGCUCCCAGAGAAGUGGAUAUCGUCAUCGCUCGAUGCGCUGGAGAAACGGCGGUGAGCGGCAGGGGUCGUUCAACGACGGACGAGAGCGGGCCGGACACGGCCGACAACAGUCCGUCGCCGACUCCGAUUCCUCGAGUUUCCUCACCUUCUCCGCCUCGUUAUUACGAUGCAAGCGUCCGGUCUUCUCCAGCCUUGGCCUCGAUCCACAAGCUGACGCAAGCUGAUGCGGCGACAGUGCGGAAUAAGACGCCGCAUCAGCGUCGUUCGCGGUCAGCCCACCCGCAACGUAAAUCGAUGGGCCCGCUAAGCGGGACAGCGGAAACGUCGACUCCGGCCCCUACUUCCACGGCGACGUCGGUGGGUGAAAUGGGCUCUAGACGACCCAAAUCGUUGUCGCUCUUCAUCUACACGAUCACCUACGAGAAAGGGGCCGGCAAGAAAAGCUUGGGAUUCAGCGUGGUCGGCGGCCGGGAUUCACCCAAAGGAUCUAUGGGCAUCUACGUCAAAACCAUUUUUCCAAGUGGCCAGGCAGCCGAGGAAGGCACCUUAAGAGAAGGCGAUGAGAUUCUAGCCGUGAACGGUACGCCACUGCAGGGGCUGUCGCACGCCGAGGCCAUCGCUGUUUUCAAGUCUAUUCGAAACGGUCACGUUGUGGUUCACGCAGCGCGCCGGGACACGGCAAAUAGGAGCAAAUCCAAGUCGUGCGACGAACUCGACCGCGUCGAAUGACGUGCCGCCAAAUGGAAAUUUCUAGGAGAGAAAGUGAAGGAGGCCUCGACGCUCGGCUCGUCGUCUAGUCGCUCUGGGAACUAAAGAAAAACGAGAACAAACAAAUAACAAGAGAAUACGUGGCAAUAAAUAAAAAAAAAGACAAAGCAGACACAAGUACACGGUUAGAAAUUAGACGCAGGCGGCUCACCUGUACGAGUGUGCUACAGGUGCACUAUAAUAUUCCAUUAUUUCUCAUUUUAACUCUUAUCGUUUAAUGUCUUCCUUUUCUGUUUGUUGGAAUUGGUUUCGGUUCGCGUCACUGUGAAAUGAAACUCUUGUUACGUUUCAAUGAUCGAGUUUCCGUUAUGAAUACUUUGUUCGUCACUAGACUUGCCCUCCUCCGCAUUAAGUAUAUAUCACUUGUUUUGGUGUUGGGUUUAAUUAAAAGCCCGUCAGGCGUCAAUUAAGAAGAGGUUUGGCUUCCCAUCUAUCAAAGUUUUUUUUUGUUUUCAACUUUCUUUUUAAAAUGUAGUAUUAUAUAUUGGAAAUCCAUAAAAUGCUAUUAAACAUAUUGGACAACGCCCUAUUUUAGAUGGCAAUCGUUCAUAAUGGCUAAUUUAUAACAUGUAACCUGUUAUAUUGAAUCACAAUGUUUUCUUGUUUUUGUUUCCUAUAUGUCCCCCAGUGUUUUGUUAUCCAUUAUUGUUUUUUGUGUGCGUCAUUUGCAUAAGUGGACCUGCAAGAUGAAUGAGAAAUGAACUUACAUUUGAAUAAACCAUCUAUCAAAAAGA
rnacentral:misc_RNA from 1 species